CACCCGCAGCUCGAGUGGUGGUCACUUUUAUUGAGCCUAAAGCGAUCGUCGCCGGUUUUGUAAAUCCUCAGACAAAUUCUCCUGCUUAACGGGAGAUACUCUGGAGAGAGUGCGAAACUAGGGACCGGGUGAGGUUGAAGGUACUUCUGGGGUAGGGGUAAAAUCCUGUAAUCCUGGAAGGACGACCAGUGGCGAAGGCGUUCAACUAGAACGGAUCCGACGGUGAGGAACGAGGGCUAGGGGAGCAAACCGG
rnacentral:rRNA from 1 species